CAUCUAUUUUCUCUGUUCUAAAUUUUUUGUCUUAGAUUUUUUUAAAUAUGAAUGUAUAUAGUCACGUUUUAGUAUUUAGAUACAUUUAUUUCUAUACAAAUCUAAGACGGGAUUUUUGGAACGAAGGAAGUAUAUG
rnacentral:pre_miRNA from 1 species